rnacentral:rRNA from 1 species
AACGCGAAGAACCUUACCUGGGCUCGAACGGCUUAAGAUCAUCUUUGGAAACAGAGACUUCUCGCAAGAGACUUGAGUCGAGGUGCUGCAUGGCUGUCGUCAGCUCGUGUCGUGAGAUGUUGGGUUAAGUCCCGCAACGAGCGCAACCCUUGUCCUGUGUUGCCACUCCCCUUAAAAGGAAGCACUCGCAGGAGACCGCCAGCGAUAAGCUGGAGGAAGGUGGGGAUGAUGUCAAGUCAUCAUGGCCUUUAUGUCCAGGGCUACACACGUGCUACAAUGGCCGGUACAAACCGCUGCAAACCCGCGAGGGGGAGCUAAUCGGAAAAAACCGGUCUCAGUUCGGAUCGCAGGCUGCAACUCGCCUGCGUGAAGCUGGAAUCGCUAGUAAUGGUGUAUCAGAACGAUACCGUGAAUACGUUCCCGGGCCUUGUA